rnacentral:tRNA from 4 species
GGCGGACGUAGCCAAGUGGAUCAAGGC